rnacentral:lncRNA from 10 species
AAUUAUAGAACUAUUUUAUGCAGCUUUUCAUCUAAAAAGGCAUCCCAUCCCCUCUAAGCUUUAUUUAUGUACUUUCAGCCUCCAAAAACCUUCCUUAAUCAUUCAACUUAAUAUUAACUUUCUUCUAUAAUCAUCUGUAUUGUGUCUUUCAAACAUUUUUUAGCCCUGUCUUGUAGUAAGCCAUACACUUUACAUUGACAUGUAGUGCAUACAUACAUUUGUUCUGCAAAAAUUUUAUGAAAACAUCUAUUUUAUUACCUGCAAUAUACACUGAUAUUUGCCUUUUUCUCUCCUGUUGAUUUUGUUAUUAUUAUUUGGUAAAGUAUAGUCCCAACCAAAAAAAUUUAUUUUAUGACCCAGCAAAGAAUGACUGGCAACCUACAAUUUGAAAAAUAUUGUUUUAGAUCAUAAUGACUACACUGCUCCUUUUACCUUAUUUAUAUUUUCAUAUGAGUAUGUUUUGUUGGUCAAAUAAAAUCUUAAUUGGAAAACCCUUGAAA